UACAGAGGGAGCAAGCGUUGUUCGGAAUUACUGGGCGUAAAGGGCGCGUAGGCGGUUCGAUAAGUCCCGUGUGAAAUCCCUCGGCUCAACUGAGGAAUUGCACGGGAAACUGACGGGCUUGAGUUCGGGAGAGGGAAGCGGAAUUCCGGGUGUAGCGGUGAAAUGCGUAGAUAUCCGGAGGAACACCGGUGGCGAAGGCGGCUCCUGGACCGACACUGACGCUGAGGCGCGAAAGCUAGGGGGAGCAAACGGGG
rnacentral:rRNA from 1 species